rnacentral:rRNA from 1 species
AUGCCCGGCUUCAACGAGGUGGUCCAAAUGGCGUGGAACGAACGGGUUGACCAUACCGAUCCCUAUCAAAUCAUCUUCCACAAGCUCAAAAAGACGGCGAUCCGCCUCUCCAAAUGGAGUAGGGGCCUUUUCUCCAAGGCUAAAAUCCAUCUCCAAUCCGCUCUUUUGGUGCUUCUUCGCCUCGACAUCGCCCAAGAGGAUAGGCCUCUCUCGCCCGAGGAGCGUGACCUACGGGCUAGGCUUAAGAGAAGGGUCAUUGCUUUGGCCGUGAUCAAGAGAUCGCGCAAGAAACAAUCUCAUGCUUCACUUGCAAUACAAGGUGUGCUGUUUCUUUUAUCUAAUGAAGCAAUUGAUCCAUCUGCGACAAACACACCGGUGUAA